GCGACCCUGCCUUCGGGCGGGGGCUCCGGGUGGACACUUCAAACUCUUGCGUAACUUUGCAGUCUGAGUAAACUUAAUUAAUAAAUUAAAACUUUCAGCAACGGAUCUCUUGGCUCUCGCAUCGAUGAAGAACGCAGCGAAAUGCGAUACGUAAUGUGAAUUGCAGAAUUCAGUGAAUCAUCGAAUCUUUGAACGCACCUUGCACUCUUUGGUAUUCCGAAGAGUAUGUCUGUUUGAGUGUCAUGAAACUCUCAACCCCCUUAUUUUGUAAUGAAGUAAGCGUGGGCUUGGUUCAUGGUUGUUGAAGGCUUAACAGUCUUCUCAACUGAAAUACACGAGCUACCUAUUUUAUAAUAGACGGUUUGACUCGGCGUAAUAACUAUUUCGCUGAGGACGUCCUUUUAUAACAGUAAAUGGUGCUUCUAAUUUAACAUCAAUUUAAGAUUUAGACCUCAAAUCAGUCAGGACUACCCGCUGAACUUAAGCAUAUCAAUAAGCGGAGGAAUCUUGCUGAAAAACUCGAGCCAUCCGGAAGAUCUGGCGGCCGCUCUCCCUAUAGUGAGUCGUAUUACGCCGGAUGGAUAUGGUGUUCAGGCACAAGUGUUAAAGCAGUUGAUUUUAUUCACUAUGAUGAAAAAAACAAUGAAUGGAACCUGCUCCAAGUUAAAAAUAGAGAUAAUACCGAAAACUCAUCGAGUAGU
rnacentral:rRNA from 1 species